rnacentral:tRNA from 1 species
GCUGUUUAAGUUUUUUUUUAAAAUGCCUGAUUUGUAAUUAGGAGAAUUUUUCAGUU